GCCAGCAGCCAGUCCACCUGCAGUCAGACUAGAUAAUCCACUUGAAGCUCAGCAGGUUUGGACCUGGUUAGAACUUGGAUGGGAGACCAACUCGGAAAAGGAGUUGCUACUGGAG
rnacentral:rRNA from 1 species